rnacentral:lncRNA from 1 species
GGAUGGUGGAGAGCCAGACAUUCCUGUCUACAAGGUCAUAGAGUCCCGUGGUCCGACCAACACAAGGCAGUGCGUGGUGGCAGUGUACUUCCGGGGUGAGCGGCUAGCCACUGGCAUGGGGCACAGCAUACAGCGGGGCAGAGAUGAAGGCUGCCACUAAUGCUUUACAGAACAGAGCAGAAUUGUUCCCUAUAUUGGCUCAUCAGAAACGUUACCUGCAGACACGCCACAAACGGAAACGAAAACAGAGCAAGCGACAAGGUGACAGUUCAUAUGACUGAGAAAGUACAAGACCUGUACAAAAGAAACAAACAUGCACAGAAAAAACAAGGACCGUUGUCCAGAAAACGAUGCUUGGGGAAGGAAUCGGCAUUCUUUUGUUCUGAACACGAAGCCAAAUGAAAGGCUUUCUCUUGCCAGGAGCACAAUACUACGAAAAGGGAAAGGCCUCCUCAUGUUGACAAUGUAAAAUUAUAUGAAAGGCUUUCUUCUUGUUUUUGAAGCAAAACCAGAGGAAAAUCCUCAAUGUUAUGUUAACAUCAGAGUAACGGAAAGCUUUCUCAUGUCCAGAAGACACCAUGGGAAACCCUUUCUCAUACAUGGAACACAAAACUUAUUGAAAGGAUACCUAGUGGCCGAAACACACACCAAUGAGAAAUGAAAGACUUUCUCUUGUCCCCGAUUCCCAAACUAAGGAAAAUCCUUGGUUGUCUGAAACCCUGAAAAUAUGCAGAAAGGAAUCGUCAUGUCUGGUCCACAGAACAAAGGGGAAUGUCAUGGACCUAAAGGAAGGGAAAGAUACAUCGUUCAGGUCGAAAAAGAAACAAAAAUGAAAUUUUGUAACCAUCCAAGGUACUACUGAUGUGUUCGUUCUAUUUCAGAGUGCUACUAUAUACAUUUGUGUCUGUCUUGUCUUGUAGCAAUAUUUCUGUGAGGGAUGUCAGCAUGAAUGUGUGUUUGAGUGCUCAUGGGAAGUGUGAUUAUUUUCCAAAAUCGGAAAUCGUGUCUUCAAUGUAUGUAUUUUUGUGUCAACACAACAUGAACUGGACAAAUGUGAAUAUAAAUUGUGCUAUGUCUUUUCCCUUGUAAGCUUGGUGUUUUUGAAUCAUGGACCAGGCUGUGCUGUUUACUUUAUAUUUUGCAACAGUUUACUUUUGUUUAUUGUAGAAAUGUCACAUGGUCAUAUGAUGCCACAGUAAAGAGAUUUAUUGUA